rnacentral:rRNA from 1 species
AGACCCGAAACCCGGUGAUCUAGCCAUGGGCAGGUUGAAGGUUGGGUAACACUAACUGGAGGACCGAACCGACUAAUGUUGAAAAAUUAGCGGAUGACCUGUGGCUGGGGGUGAAAGGCCAAUCAAACCGGGAGAUAGCUGGUUCUCCCCGAAAGCUAUUUAGGUAGCGCCUCGUGAAUUCAUCUCCGGGGGUAGAGCACUGUUUCGGCUAGGGGGCCAUCCCGGCUUACCAACCCGAUGCAAACUGCGAAUACCGGAGAAUGUUAUCACGGGAGACACACGGCGGGUGCUAACGUCCGUCGUGAAGAGGGAAACAACCCAGACCGCCAGCUAAGGUCCCAAAGUCAUGGUUAAGUGGGAAACGAUGUGGGAAGGCCCAGACAGCCAGGAUGUUGGCUUAGAAGCAGCCAUCAUUUAAAGAAAGCGUAAUAGCUCACUGGUCGAGUCGGCCUGCGCGGAAGAUGUAACGGGGCUAAACCAUGCACCGAAGCUGCGGCAGCGAACGUAUCACCCAAGACAACUUUACGGAGUUGGCGAUUGACGGAGCGAAGCGACGUCAAAGCGUUCAUUAAAGUCGAGUUGGCUUAGGGAUACGUUCGUUGGGUAGGGGAGCGUUCUGUAAGCCUGUGAAGGUGUGUCGUGAGGCAUGCUGGAGGUAUCAGAAGUGCGAAUGCUGACAUAAGUAACGAUAAAGCGGGUGAAAAGCCCGCUCGCCGGAAGACCAAGGGUUCCUGUCCAACGUUAAUCGGGGCAGGGUGAGUCGACCCCUAAGGCGAGGCCGAAAGGCGUAGUCGAUGGGAAACGGGUUAAUAUUCCCGUACUUGGUGUUACUGCGAAGGGGGGACGGAGAAGGCUAUGUUGGCCGGGCGACGGUUGUCCCGGUUUAAGCGUGUAGGUGUGUGUUCCAGGUAAAUCCGGUUCACUUUAACACUGAGGCGUGAUGACGAGGCACUACGGUGCUGAAGCAACAAAUGCCCUGCUUCCAGGAAAAGCCUCUAAGCAUCAGGUAACAUCAAAUCGUACCCCAAACCGACACAGGUGGUCAGGUAGAGAAUACCAAGGCGCUUGAGAGAACUCGGGUGAAGGAACUAGGCAAAAUGGUGCCGUAACUUCGGGAGAAGGCACGCUGACACGUAGGUGAAGUGAUUUACUCAUGGAGCUGAAGUCAGUCGAAGAUACCAGCUGGCUGCAACUGUUUAUUAAAAACACAGCACUGUGCAAACACGAAAGUGGACGUAUACGGUGUGACGCCUGCCCGGUGCCGGAAGGUUAAUUGAUGGGGUCAGCGUAAGCGAAGCUCCUGAUCGAAGCCCCGGUAAACGGCGGCCGUAACUAUAACGGUCCUAAGGUAGCGAAAUUCCUUGUCGGGUAAGUUCCGACCUGCACGAAUGGCGUAAUGAUGGCCAGGCUGUCUCCACCCGAGACUCAGUGAAAUUGAACUCGCUGUGAAGAUGCAGUGUACCCGCGGCAAGACGGAAAGACCCCGUGAACCUUUACUAUAGCUUGACACUGAACAUUGAGCCUUGAUGUGUAGGAUAGGUGGGAGGCUUUGAAGUGUGGACGCCAGUCUGCAUGGAGCCGACCUUGAAAUACCACCCUUUAAUGUUUGAUGUUCUAACGUGGACCCGUAAUCCGGGUUGCGGACAGUGUCUGGUGGGUAGUUUGACUGGGGCGGUCUCCUCCUAAAGAGUAACGGAGGAGCACGAAGGUUGGCUAAUCCUGGUCGGACAUCAGGAGGUUAGUGCAAUGGCAUAAGCCAGCUUGACUGCGAGCGUGACGGCGCGAGCAGGUGCGAAAGCAGGUCAUAGUGAUCCGGUGGUUCUGAAUGGAAGGGCCAUCGCUCAACGGAUAAAAGGUACUCCGGGGAUAACAGGCUGAUACCGCCCAAGAGUUCAUAUCGACGGCGGUGUUUGGCACCUCGAUGUCGGCUCAUCACAUCCUGGGGCUGAAGUAGGUCCCAAGGGUAUGGCUGUUCGCCAUUUAAAGUGGUACGCGAGCUGGGUUUAGAACGUCGUGAGACAGUUCGGUCCCUAUCUGCCGUGGGCGCUGGAGAACUGAGGGGGGCUGCUCCUAGUACGAGAGGACCGGAGUGGACGCAUCACUGGUGUUCGGGUUGUCAUGCCAAUGGCACUGCCCGGUAGCUAAAUGCGGAAGAGAUAAGUGCUGAAAGCAUCUAAGCACGAAACUUGCCCCGAGAUGAGUUCUCCCUGAGACUUAGAGUCUCCUGAAGGAACGUUGAAGACGACGACGUUGAUAGGCCGGGUGUGUAAGCGCAGCGAUGCGUUGAGCUAACCGGUACUAAUGAACCGUGAGGCUUAACCUU